CCAAAAUCUUCUCCAAAAGGACCAAAACAAUUGCCCCUCUUUCACAAACCUAGCUGCCUUUCCCUUUCUCUUCCCUCUCUCAACACAAUAUUCCCUCUUUUGCUUUCCUCUCAAAUCAGCGACAAUCAGAUAUUUUGUACUUUUUGGCUCGUGGGUGUGUAGAGAUCUUGUUGUCUCUUUUAUGUAUGUAGUAGAAGCUCUAAGUUGUACUCAACAAUGGCUACCAUCACCUUCUAAAGAAUACAAUUUUCACGACAGUUUAGAAGAAGUCCAGAACAUCGAGCAAGUUGAUGAAGAGUAUCGAGACUCACCUUUGAGCAUUAAUUAGCCAGUUUCGUUCAUGAUGCACUAUCUGUGUGAGAAUUGAUAAGGAAAUAGAACCAGAUAUGCAGAUUGCUUCCAACAUUAUGUUUCUUGAGUUUAAUUUAGAGAUGAAGCAACUUCAGUUGUAAUAGUCUAGAGAUGAUUUAGAGUAUACUCAAACUCUAAGUUGGAUUUUUGUUUUGUGACAUCUGACAUAAGCUGUACCUUAAUUUUAUGGAAGAAACUAUAUUAGUUUUUGUUUA